rnacentral:lncRNA from 1 species
UCCCACUGCGCACGCGCACUGCUUAACGGCCGCUCAGGCGCCCAACAAUUAGUCCCUUGCCUUCUCAAAGGAAACUCUUAGUUCGAAGAAUGGGUCGUGAGCCCUCUCCUUAGCCAAAGGCGGUUCCCUUCGGGCGACAGCGGCUCUCUCGCUCACUCUCUCGGGCGGACGCCGGAGCUUCUCCGGAAUGAGGUUCUGGCGGUGGCGCCAAGCAGCGUACGCAGCCUGAGUCCCGCUCCGUUCGCCACACUGACCCAGAGGACUUUAGUCCUCCGGCAGGUCCCCCGGGGUAAACUGCUCGUCGCUUACCCGCUCCGGUUCCGGAAUACCGCUGUCGCCACCGUUCCUGUAAUUCUCUCCAACCUUUCGAUGCUUCUACUUCUUCAUGAACAAGACAAGAUGGCGCCCGGUGGUUCUCACCCGGAAGUGAAUGAUAAUAACAUCCGCUUUUCGGCUGAAGUCACACUGAUUCUCAGCCAGGCUUACGACCAUGUGAUCUUACCGACGGGACGAGUCCGCGCCAUUUUUGUUGAGGGCAAACCCAACCCACCUCGAGUUGGACCCUCUUGUGUGUGAAGCCCGUGUCAUACCCGACACAUUUUCAUUUGUACAGCCAGCACAAAGCCGAGCCUAACGUUCCGGUACAAUGGACGGAAUUUAGUAAACUUUAGGCAGGAGACCCUCGAAGAGCAAAUGCGUUCUAAGAAUCAGUUCCGCUUUGGGAAGGAUGCUGAAUCGCUUUGCCUCUUUCAGACUACGGAGAGGACCGCAAGUCAAACCCUGCCAACUUGGAACUCACUGUGCCAGGCCUGAGUCGCAGAGCCUGAGUUCUGGAAGCAGGGUGUUUGCUAGGUCUCCUUGUUCACCUCCUAGCAUCGCGCCCCCUGGUGGGAACAUUUACUCAGUUCAACUUCGCUCAGCUACUCUUUAAGGAAAAGUAACUGAGAAGCAGAGUUUCCACUGGUCCUUCCUUACCUAAACUCCAAGAUGGCCUCCCGAAAGGAGGUAAAAGGUGUUUAGCGUGAACAAUGUUCAUAUAUCUAAAAUGUCAACUUUCCAGACUAGGAGUUUAAUUACAAAAGGAAACAAAAAUUCUAAGAAACACAGCAUUCUUAACCUAAAUAUUGGAAAAUGACUUUCUUGAAAUGUCAGUGUAACUAAAAAGAGUUAUGAAGGAGAAUUCCAGGAAAAAGUCUGUGUCUGCAAAGAUUGAUUGGAGCUUCAGUGAUGUGGAGAGGUUGGAAUUUUACAAGUCCAGAGGCUAAUUACCCAAUCUGGCCCUAGCUUUACCCACGAAUUGCCAGUCUUUGCCAACCUCCCCAUAUUAGAGCUAAAUCCUGUGACUAAUAGAUUAAAAACCUUUUAGAACUUUUAAAAAAAUGAUUUAUUUAUUUUUAUUUUAUGUGUAUUGGUGUUUUGCCUGCGUGCAUGUCUGUGUGAGGGUGUCAAAUCACUUGUUGCUGGACUACAGAUAGUUGUAAGCUGCCAUGUGGGUACUAGGAAUUGAACUCUGGUACCAGCGCUAUUAACCACUGCCCCAGCCUUUGGAACUUUUUAACUUAGCUGACUCCCAGUUUCCACCAACCCAAGAGCUAAGAAUGUUAUCAGAUAGCAUCUGCAGCGAUGUAAAAAGUGUCCCCAUCUUGCUGUAGCUUCUGUGAUGUACACACCAAUGUAUCUUAAGCCUGCCUUGGUUUAUGACUGUCUGUUCUUUAAAAACUAUAAAAUGUCAUGAAACCACUUCCGUGUUAUAAAAGAAAUUUGGCAUAACUGUGUUCCUUGUGCCAUGGACAUUCAAAUGUGGCUCCACAAUAAACUCUCUUAUUCCCUUUAAUGUGAGAACUCUGUUUUUAGCACCCACACCAUGCACUAAAAAUCUAAGUCUUUGAGUUGGGAACUGCACAAGAAAUAUCAAAUUACUCUAGAAACAAGACUGUAGUAAACUGAAUAAAGAAAAUAUAGGUAGAUGUGAAAAUAGGAAUGCCCUUUACAAGAAAUUCUGUAAUUCUCAAAUGAAGUAUUUGAAAACCAUGUAGUCUGUGUGAUUAGAAUAAAACCCUACUAAGUAAACACCUGCUAGCCUCAAGUUUGCCUUCAACAUGUAAUUUGGGGAGUGGGGUGG